UAACCAUGAUGUGGGCAAGUAGAAGGUCUUUGAAACGCUCCCAAGCUUGAAAAAAUAGUUCAUUCCCCUUUUGGGAGAACGGCAUGAUUUCCUGUUUCAGUGC